GACGAACGCUGGCGGCGUGCUUAACACAUGCAAGUCGAACGGAAAGGCCCUUCUUUUGUGUGGUGCUCGAGUGGCGAACGGGUGAGUAACACGUGAGUAACCUGCCCUGGACUUUGGGAUAACUUCAGGAAACUGGGGCUAAUACCGGAUAUGAGCUCCUUCUGCAUGGGUGGUGUGGGAAAGUUUCGGCGGUUGGGGAUGGACUCGCGGCUUAUCAGCUUGUUGGUGGGGUAGUGGCUUACCAAGGCUUUGACGGGUAGCCGGCCUGAGAGGGUGAACGGCCACAUUGGGACUGAGAUACGGCCCAGACUCCUACGGGAGGCAGCAGUGGGGAAUAUUGCACAAUGGGCGGAAGCCUGAUGCAGCAACGCCGCGUGCGGGAUGACGGCCUUCGGGUUGUAAACCGCUUUCGCCUGUGACGAAGCGUGAGUGACGGUAAUGGGUAAAGAAGCACCGGCUAACUACGUG
rnacentral:rRNA from 1 species